rnacentral:rRNA from 1 species
UUCCUGGCACACGGUAGUCGCCUCUUAACAACUAGCCCAUAGAUUUCUGUAUCUUGUCCAAGACGUUCAGGAGCUCCUGGCUGGCUUUUGCGACGUUUUUACGCGAGAGGAAAGGCACCCCAACGAAGGCGGUGAUCAGCUCAAAUGGCAUUUGUUCUUUGUGUGCGGGGUCUGUAUAGAUAAUAGUCCGCUGCUUCAUCUCAGGGUACUCCCUGAAAAGCACCUCUCGGCACCAUACGGCCCCCGCGAAUCGGCCCGCUCCGGCCAUUUUCCUCUGCGGGU